UGUUUGCAAUAAACUUGUUUUAGUUCUAUUAUUGUUUUCCGUAUCAGCUAGGAUAUUAAGUCUUUGUAAGUCUUUUUCUAAAAUGUUUAUAUUAUCUCUUUUUUCCUUAGCUUUAGAUUUGCAAUAAUUAAUUGAAAUAUCUCUUACUUCAGUUUUAAAGUUAUCCCAUAGUAGGUCGAGAUCGGGAUAAUUUAUACUUUUAUUUUUAUAAUUAGUUAUCAAAUUAGAAAUUGUUUUCACAUAGUCCUCAUUAUCUAAUAUACUGUUAUUCAAUUUCCAGUAUCCCCUGCCUUUAGGACCUCUAUUUAUAUCUAUUUUUAAUGAAACACAAUUAUGAUCAGUAUGUUGCAGAACUAUUGGUCUUAUGUCGCAUGAAGUGGAGUUUUUGUAAACUUCAGGUCCUAUUAAAAAAUAGUCAAUUCUUGUUGCUUCAGAUCUAUCUUUUCUACACCAAGUGAACUGUGUUCUAUUUUUGUUUUUCUCUCUACAAAC
rnacentral:lncRNA from 1 species